GCCCUAAUUCAGACUAGUGUUCUUAUAGAGGAGAGUGUGCACAGAGGAGAGAUCAUGUGAGGACACAGCGAGAAGACAAUCAUCUGUAAGCCAAGGAGAGAGGCCUCAGAAAAAAAUCCACCCUGCUAAGAGCUUGAUCUUGGACUUACAGCCUCCAGGACUAUCUCAAAUUAACAGCCCAUUAUUAUGGAAGUUCUUUAUUGAUCACCAGAAUGGGUUAGGUGUACCUGUUAUUUAAAGAAAAAUAGUGAAGAUACUAUGGUGAGUCCACAUAUAUUUCAUAUUCAUUUUCCCAUUAUUAAUAUCUAAU